UACGUAGGGCGCAAGCGUUGUCCGGAAUUAUUGGGCGUAAAGAGCUCGUAGGCGGUUUGUCGCGUCUGCUGUGAAAACUCGAGGCUCAACCUCGGGCUUGCAGUGGGUACGGGCAGACUAGAGUGCGGUAGGGGGAGACUGGAAUUCCUGGUGUAGCGGUGGAAUGCGCAGAUAUCAGGAGGAACACCGAUGGCGAAGGCAGGUCUCUGGGCCGCAACUGACGCUGAGGAGCGAAAGCAUGGGGAGCGAACAGG
rnacentral:rRNA from 1 species